rnacentral:rRNA from 1 species
GACGAACGCUGGCGGCGUGCUUAACACAUGCAAGUCGAACGGUAAGGCCCUUCGGGGUACACGAGUGGCGAACGGGUGAGUAACACGUGGGUGAUCUGCCCUGCACUUCGGGAUAAGCCUGGGAAACUGGGUCUAAUACCGGAUAGGACCACUGCCUGCAGGGGUGGUGGUGGAAAGCUUUUGCGGUGUGGGAUGGGCCCGCGGCCUAUCAGCUUGUUGGUGGGGUGAUGGCCUACCAAGGCGACGACGGGCAGCCGGCCUGAGAGGGUGACCGGCCUCACUGGGACUGAGAUACGGCCCAGACUCCUACGGGAGGCAGCAGUGGGGAAUAUUGCACAAUGGGCGCAAGCCUGAUGCAGCGACGCCGCGUGAGGGAUGACGGCCUUCGGGUUGUAAACCUCUUUCAGCACCGACGAAGCGCAAGUGACGGUAGGUGCAGAAGAAGGACCGGCCAACUACGUGCCAGCCGCCGCAGUAA